rnacentral:rRNA from 1 species
UGGCACCUUCGGUGUCCGAGUUGUAAUUUGAAGAAGGUAACUUUGGAGUUGGCUCUUGUCUAUGUUCCUUGGAACAGGACGUCACAGAGGGUGAGAAUCCCGUGCGAUGAGAUGUCCAACUCUAUGUAAAGUGCUUUCGAAGAGUCGAGUUGUUUGGGAAUGCAGCUCUAAGUGGGUGGUAAAUUCCAUCUAAAGCUAAAUAUUGGCGAGAGACCGAUAGCGAACAAGUACAGUGAUGGAAAGAUGAAAAGAACUUUGAAAAGAGAGUGAAAAAGUACGUGAAAUUGUUGAAAGGGAAGGGUUUGAGAUCAGACUUGGUAUUUUGUAUGUCUUGCUUUCGGGUGGGGCCUCUGCAGUUUACUGGGCCAGCAUCGGUUUGGACGGUAGGAUAAUGACAUUGGAAUGUGGCACUACUUCGGUGGUGUGUUAUAGACUUUGUUGAUACUGCCUGUCUAGACCGAGGACUGCGU